UACGUAGGCAGCAAGCGUUGUUCGGAAUUACUGGGCGUAAAGAGUGUGUAGGCGGUGUCGUAAGUUUGGCGUGAAAUCUCCCGGCUUAACUGGGAGGUGCGCCGAAGACUGCGGUGCUUGAGGAUCGGAGAGGAAAGUGGAAUUUCUGGUGUAGCGGUGAAAUGCGUAGAUAUCAGAAGGAACACCUGUGGUGUAGACGGCUUUCUGGACGAUUCCUGACGCUGAGACACGAAAGCGUGGGUAGCAAACAGG
rnacentral:rRNA from 1 species